rnacentral:rRNA from 1 species
UAGUUAAGUUCUUGAAACUCAAAGAAUUUGGCGGUAUUUUAGUCUAGUCAGAGGAAUCUGUCCCGUGAUCGAUAAUUCACGAGUUAUUGUACUUGAUUUUGUAAUAUCAGUUUGUAUACCGCCGUCAUCAGAUUAUCUUUUUAGGGUGUUAAUUUUCUUAAAAUUUUAUUAGAUAGUAUGUCAGGUCAAGGUGCAACUUAUAAUUAAGUGGAGAUGGAUUACAAUAAAUUUAUUUAUAAUGGAUUUUGAAUUGAAAUAUGAAGUUGAAGGUGGAUUUGGUAGUAAGAUUAUAUAUUAAUAAUUUGAUUUUAGCUCUAAAAUGUGCACAUAUCGCCCGUCGCUCUCGUUAUUAAGGUGAGAUAAGUCGUAACAUAGUAGAUGUACUGGAAAGUGUAUCUAGAAAGU